CAUAAUCCUCCCAACCAACUCAAACAUAAUCCUCUGCUGACCACAGAACGAGAGGCCCCACCACCAGGUGAUGACAUCACGCGACCACCGCAGAUGAUUACAGAACCACCAGAGCCAGCCAAUUUCCAGCAUCACGCCUCAAGCCAGGACCUUGAUGUACCUGGGAGUGCUGUCUUGGUGGUCUGCCUUCCGGAAGAGUCACGUGAGACCGGUCCUGACUGCUUGCCGAUCACCACGCAAGCCCCAAUGCCAAGACUGUUGGGGAACCUAAUUGAAAGGGGGGUGGCCAAGAAACUCUACCUGACCACCACUUUGGAGAGUGAGUUUAAGCUAGAGGCCCUGGUGGACACAGGAGCAGACCUGACUCUGAUGUCAGCCCAGCUUUUCGACAGACUUCAGAUUGCUGCCAAGAGACAGAAUCGAACUCUCGAAUAUAAGAACUGUGUACAAUCAUACAGCCAAAAUGAUGUACAACUAGAACAACUAGCUCCCAUUCACCUAACCAUCGGCCCUAUGACUUUAGUACACCCUGUGUACAUCUCUCCAUUUGACACAUACCCUCUCCUUAUUGGAAAAGACCUGCUAGACCGCUUUGAGCCCCUAUUGGACUUCAAACAGCUAAAAAUUUGGGCUCAAGUGCGAGAACCUCUGCCUCCUCAGUCACCAAGAUCACGCCAGACAGACUGCCAGGUCACAAAGGCCACAGAAGGUCUCGCCAACAACUGCGGGAACACACCGACCCAAGAGCAAGGUUCAAGGUCAUCACUAUGCACUUUCCAGCUGGCUACAGCAGGUGCACUACACGGCGAGUUAUGGUAUCCACCUGCCCACCCACCCACCCUUAAUGUGGCUGCCAUAACCUGCAGCAAAAAGACUCAGCCCACUUCAAUGACCACCUCACAGCCGCUUACGCUGGCUCCUCAAAUCACCACCAUGGACAUUGCUGACAUGCAGGCCUCUGACCCAGCUAUACACACUAUCCCUCACCAACUCUCUGACCCCUCUAACCGCCCUAUCACAGCUGCACAAAUGGCCAAUACGCCAACCCUCAAAGCACUACUCAACGUGAAACCUAUGCUGUGUGUGACGCACAAUAUUCUUGGGUACUGCCCUGAUGACGUCACUGCGCCAAGGCUUGUGGUGCCACAGUGCCUAAGGGGGGUCAUGCUAAUAUAUGCUCACGACACACCAAGCGCGAGACACCACGGCACAAGUACCACGUAUGAGACACUAGAACAAGUGGCAUACUGGCCCAGCAUGCAGCAAGAUUUAAGAGAGUACAGAUACCAUCUAAUUUUUUCCCCAGGGAGACAAAGGAGAAACAGACCUCUUUAAGAAUCAUCUCAAACAUCUAGGACCAUGGGUGGCACCUACAAAUCAGUUUUGGAUAUUUUAUCACUCUCAUGGAAGGAGAUUCUUACUUUACCUGAAUAGUUCAGUAAACUAAUACUUAUAUUCUAAAAAGUAAUAAAAAGUGAGACUAGAAAUAUUAUUGUAAUGUGAAAUACAUCC
rnacentral:lncRNA from 1 species